GAGGGUGUAGCUCAGUGGUAGAGCGCAUGCUUAGCAUGCACAAGGUCCUGGGUUCAAUCCCCAGUACCUCCA
rnacentral:tRNA from 1 species